UAGGGAAUCUUCCGCAAUGGGCGAAAGCCUGACGGAGCAACGCCGCGUGAGUGAUGAAGGUCUUCGGAUCGUAAAACUCUGUUAUUAGGGAAGAACAAAUGUGUAAGUAACUAUGCACGUCUUGACGGUACCUAAUCAGAAAGCCACGGCUAACUACGUGCCAGCAGCCGCGGUAAUACGUAGGUGGCAAGCGUUAUCCGGAAUUAUUGGGCGUAAAGCGCGCGUAGGCGGUUUUUUAAGUCUGAUGUGAAAGCCCACGGCUCAACCGUGGAGGGUCAUUGGAAACUGGGAAACUUGAGUGCAGAAGAGGAAGGUGGAAUUCCAUGUGUAGCGGUGAAAUGCGCAAAGAUAUGGAGGAACCCCAGUGGCGAAGGCGACUUUCUGGUCUGUAACUGACGCUGAUGUGCGAAAGCGUGGGGAUCAAACAGG
rnacentral:rRNA from 1 species